CGAGUCCCCGGCAUUACCCGCUGGCAACAUAGGACAAGGGUUGCGCUCGUUGCGGGACUUAACCCAACAUCUCACGGCACGAGCUGACGACAGCCAUGCAGCACCUGAACCGGCGGUCCCCGAAGGGAAAGUCCUAUUUCUACGACAUUCCGGUACAUGUCAAGCCUUGGUAAGGUUCUUCGCGUCGCGUCGAAUUAAACCACAUGCUCCGCUGCUUGUGCGGGCCCCCGUCAAUUCCUUUGAGUUUUAGCCUUGCGGCCGUACUCCCCAGGCGGGGUGCUUAAUGCGUUAGCUUCGGCACGGACGGAGUCGACACCGCCCACACCUAGCACCCAUCGUUUACGGCGUGGACUAC
rnacentral:misc_RNA from 1 species